rnacentral:tmRNA from 1 species
CCCUUUGAAUUCCCGGCCGAAAGGCACUAUAUUCGCCGUGCCGGGAAACCGGCUAUGGCAAUAAACUGGCGAUGCAAUAAGCCAAUCGGACCCGGGGGCGGUACCCGGCGCCUCCACCACAAACGGCCGCAAGGGGCCGGUUGUGAUGGGGGCGAAACAGGAUCGACGAUGGUGUAAAGAUCGUUCUUUUGCCCGGCAUGAUACCGCCGUUAUCGGGUCACCUUAAUAGUUGCAAACGACAACUAUGCAGAGGCACGUCUCGCUGCCUAACGGCGGUGCGACAGCUUCACUGAAACUCCUGGCGGGUAUGCUCUGCUAGGCGGGGUUCGGAGGCACCUGGCAACAGAAGCCUCCACU